rnacentral:rRNA from 1 species
CGGACGACGCUGGCGGCGUGCUUAACACAUGCAAGUCGAGCGGAGUAGGACUAGGUACUUCGGUACCGGGUUUACUUAGCGGCGGACGGGUGAGUAACGCGUGGGCAACCUACCUUACACAGGGGGAUAACACCGGGAAACUGGUGCUAAUACCGCAUAACGCAUAUCUGUGGCAUCAUGGAUAUGCCAAAGGAGAAAUCCGGUGUAAGAUGGGCCCGCGUCCGAUUAGCUAGUUGGUGGGGUAACGGCCCACCAAGGCGACGAUCGGUAGCCGAACUGAGAGGUUGGUCGGCCACAUUGGGACUGAGACACGGCCCAGACUCCUACGGGAGGCAGCAGUGGGGAAUAUUGCGCAAUGGGGGAAACCCUGACGCAGCGACGCCGCGUGAAGGAAGAAGGCCUUCGGGUUGUAAACUUCUUUGAUUGGGGACGAAGAAAGUGACGGUACCCAAGGAACAAGCCACGGCUAACUACGUG